rnacentral:rRNA from 1 species
UACGUAGGUGGCAAGCGUUGUCCGGAUUUAUUGGGCGUAAAGCGCGCGCAGGCGGUCCUUUAAGUCUGAUGUGAAAUCUUGCGGCUCAACCGCAAGCGGUCAUUGGAAACUGGGGGGACUUGAGUACAGAAGAGGAAAGCGGAAUUCCACGUGUAGCGGUGAAAUGCGUAGAGAUGUGGAGGAACACCAGUGGCGAAGGCGGCUUUCUGGUCUGUAACUGACGCUGAGGCGCGAAAGCGUGGGGAGCAAACAGG